GACAGAGGGUGCAAACGUUGCUCGGAAUUACUGGGCGGAAAGCGCGUGUAGGCGGUUUCGCAAGUCAGGUGUGAAGGCCCAAGGCUCAACCUUGGAAGUGCACUUGAUACUACGGAGCUUGAGUACUGAAGAGGAGAGCGGAAUUCCCGGUGUAGAGGUGAAAUUCGUAGAUAUCGGGAGGAACACCGGUGGCGAAGGCGGCGAUCUGGGUAGAUACUGACGCUGAGGUGCGAAAGCGUGGGGAGCAAACAGG
rnacentral:rRNA from 1 species